rnacentral:rRNA from 1 species
UGGGGAAUCUUGCACAAUGGGGGAAACCCUGAUGCAGCGACGCCGCGUGAACGAUGAAGCCCUUCGGGGUGUAAAGUUCUUUCGACGGGGACGAUAAUGACGGUACCCGGAGAAGAAGCUGCGGCUAACUACGUGCCAGCAGCCGCGGUAAUACGUAGGCAGCAAGCGUUGUUCGGAAUUACUGGGCGUAAAGAGUGCGUAGGUGGUUGGCUAAGUUUGGUGUGAAAUCUCCCGGCUCAACUGGGAGGGUGCGCCGAAAACUGGUCGACUAGAGUGUGGGAGAGGGACGUGGAAUUCCUGGUGUAGCGGUGAAAUGCGUAGAUAUCAGGAGGAACACCUGCGGUGUAGACGGCGUCCUGGACCAUGACUGACACUGAGGCACGAAAGCGUGGGGAGCAAACA